GCCCCCACAGUCCUAAUGUGGCCACAUGCUCCUGGCUCUGCCCCAAAAGUUAGCUAGUCUGUUUCUCAUUAUCUUAACCCCCCAAGCAGGAGCAAAACCUUAGCCUACAAACCUCCCAACUGAAGCAUUAACACAGUAAGCUUUGCAAGUGGCCCCAGGAAAGCUCUGGAGCACCACCAGCUUUGAGAUUAUUUGCACAUCUAUGUUCACCACAGCAUUAUUCACAAGAGCCAAAAGGUGGAAGCAACCCAAGUGUCCAUCAACAAACGAAUGGACAAAUAAAACGGGGUCUAUACGGACAAUGGAAUAUUAUUCUACCUUAACAAAGAAGAAAAUUCUGACAUCUGCUGCAACGUGAAUGAACCUUGACAACAUGAUGCUUGUGAGAUCAUCCAGACACGGAAGGGCAAAUAUUGUGUGAUUCUGCUGAAGUGGGAGCACAAAGACUGUCUUCUCUGGUCUCCGCAUCUCCCACAGAGUGGGCACAAAGGAAAUACUUGUUGAAUGAAUGGGCUUGGUUGUUGUCCUUCUUAAAAUAAUCUUUACGUGUCACCCUUCUACAAAUUGCAUUACUGACAUAUUUUGCUACAGAUGCCUUCGAAUUUUUGGUUAUUUCGGGACACUGAGUUCGUGAGACUUUAUAUAAAUGCUAUGAUAGCAAACAAUAGUGCUUGUGUCUACCUUGGAAAUGCUGAGAAGCAAUGUGUAUGUUGGACACACAAAGACGUCUUCAGUCUUGUUCUCUGGAGCCCUGAAAAUCUGGUCUUGCUGCUAAAGGCCAGUGAUUAUUUUCCCAAAAAAUAACAGACUAGUAGAAUCUCGGCUUGCAAUAAUGCAUGUAACAAAAGCAGAUAAUAUAAAAAAAUGUUAUUGAUUCACAUAAAUACAGUCAUCGGCUUUAAUUUAAGACUUGCAGCUGUUCUCCCAGUUUCCUUAUGGAUUUUUCUGUUACAGUACAAAGGAAUUAGAAUCUAAACGCUUCCCAAUUCUAAACCUUUGGACCAGCUAUUUUUUCUCCUCCAUUGGAAACUUUUCAGCAAUAAGGACAAUAGUUUCCUUGAAUCUGACCCCUACAGGAUAGAAGGGAUCCUGCUUCUGGUGAUGACCCAAAUCACAGUACAUCCAAGGAGUUUGUCAGCCACCCACCUCCGUCCUAAUCUGAUAUCCUAGGAAAACUAUAGUGCUCCUUGGAGGCAGAAAUCCAUGUUGCUCUCAAAACUAUUGUACCUUAGGGGCACCUGGCUGGCUCAGUUGGAAGAGUGUGUGGCUCUUGAUCUCAGAGUUGUGAGUUUGAGCCCCACGUUGGG